rnacentral:rRNA from 1 species
AGUCGAGCGGAACGAUCCUAGCUUGCUAGGAGGCGUCGAGCGGCGGACGGGUGAGUAAUGCAUAGGAAUCUGCCCGGUAGUGGGGGAUAACCUGAGGAAACUCAGGCUAAUACCGCAUACGUCCUACGGGAGAAAGCAGGGGCUCUUCGGACCUUGCGCUAUCGGAUGAGCUUAUGUCGGAUUAGCUGGUUGGUGAGGUAACGGCUCACCAAGGCGACGAUCCGUAGCUGGUCUGAGAGGAUGAUCAGCCACAUCGGGACUGAGACACGGCCCGAACUCCUACGGGAGGCAGCAGUGGGGAAUAUUGGACAAUGGGGGCAACCCUGAUCCAGCCAUGCCGCGUGUGUGAAGAAGGCCCUCGGGUUGUAAAGCACUUUCAGUGAGGAAGAAGGCUUGUCGGUUAAUACCCGGCAAGAAAGACAUCACUCACAGAAGAAGCACCGGCUAACUCCGUGCCAGCAGCCGCGGUAAUACGGAGGGUGCGAGCGUUAAUCGGAAUUACUGGGCGUAAAGCGUGCGUAGGCGGCUUGAUAAGCCGGUUGUGAAAGCCCCGGGCUCAACCUGGGAACGGCAUCCGGAACUGUCAGGCUAGAGUGCAGGAGAGGAAGGUAGAAUUCCCGGUGUAGCGGUGAAAUGCGUAGAGAUCGGGAGGAACCAGUGGCGAAGGCGGCCUUCUGGACUGACACUGACGCUGAGGUACGAAAGCGUGGGUAGCAAACAGGAUUAGAUACCCUGGUAGUCCACGCCGUAAACGAUGUCGACUAGCCGUUGGGGUCCUCGAGACCUUUGUGGCGCAGUUAACGCACUAAGUCGACCGCCUGGGGAGUACGGCCGCAAGGUUAAAACUCAAAUGAAUUGACGGGGGCCCGCACAAGCGGUGGAGCAUGUGGUUUAAUUCGAUGCAACGCGAAGAACCUUACCUACCCUUGACAUCGUGCGAACUUGGUAGAGAUACCUUGGUGCCUUCGGGAACGCACAGACAGGUGCUGCAUGGCUGUCGUCAGCUCGUGUUGUGAAAUGUUGGGUUAAGUCCCGUAACGAGCGCAACCCUUGUCCCUAUUUGCCAGCGAUUCGGUCGGGAACUCUAGGGAGACUGCCGGUGACAAACCGGAGGAAGGUGGGGACGACGUCAAGUCAUCAUGGCCCUUACGGGUAGGGCUACACACGUGCUACAAUGGCCGGUACAAUGGGUUGCAAAGCGGCGACGUGGAGCUAAUCCCAUAAAGCCGGUCUCAGUCCGGAUCGGAGUCUGCAACUCGACUCCGUGAAGUCGGAAUCGCUAGUAAUCGUGCAUCAGAAUGGCACGGUGAAUACGUUCCCGGGCCUUGUACACACCGCCCGUCACACCAUGGGAGUGGACUGCACCAGAAGUGGUUAGCCUAAC